rnacentral:rRNA from 1 species
ACUCCUCACGGGGAGGCAGCAGUAGGGAAUUUUCCGCAAUGGACGGAAAGUCUGACGGAGCAAUGCCGCGUGAGUGAUGAAGGUUUUCGAAUCGUAAAGCUCUGUUGUAAGGGAAGAAUAGCAAGAAUAGGAAAUGAUUCUUGUUCUGACGGUACCUUACCAGAAAGCCACGGCUAACUACGUGCCAGCAGCCGCGGUAAUACGUAGGUGGCAAGCGUUAUCCGGAAUUAUUGGGCGUAAAGCGCAUGUAGGCGGCUUUUUAAGUCUGAUGUG